GUUCAUGGUGGACGGUGCGCGGGGAUCUUUGAUCCGCCGGUCAAUCUGGGGGGGGUGCUCAGCCGGUAUGCCAACCCGCACCGUCUGCCACCUUG
rnacentral:antisense_RNA from 2 species